rnacentral:lncRNA from 1 species
UCUUUCAAGCAAGGCCCUUUUGUUCCUAGUUCCCAGAGAGGAGGCAGAAUCUUUGGCAAUGCAUUAACUUGCUCCUAUCCCAGGCAGAUCACCAAUCAAUUGGAUGGCAUUGGUUUUGUAAUUUCAAAACCAUGUAGCCAUCAGAUUCAUUAUGCAAUAAUGGCCCGUUCAUAAGUAAUACCAAUAAGAAGUGCUUCCUGAGCAACGUCUCAGUUAUGCCUCAUGAUAACCCUGUGAUGUAGACACACCCCCAUCUUUCGUUACACAGACAAGGAAACUGAGGCUCGCCAAGCUCAAAACCACUGCCAAGAUCAUCACUAGUAAGUGGCAGAGCUGCUAAGAUUCAGACACAGCAACUGCACAUCCCUGGCCUCCAAUCAACCAAGAAACAGCCAAAUGAAAUAAUUUUUUUAAAAAGGGAAAGAGGCCAGGCCUAGUGGCUCAUGCCUGUAAUCCCAACACCUUGGGAGGCCAAGGCAGGAGGAUCACUUGAUCGCAGGAGUACAAGACCAGCCUGGACAAGAUGGCAAAACCCCGUCUCUACAAAAAAUUUAAAAAUUAGCUGGAU